GCGGGUGUAGCUCAAUGGCAGAGCCGCUGCCUUCCAAGUAAAAGACGAGGGUUCGAUUCCCUUCACCCGCUCCA
rnacentral:tRNA from 1 species